rfam:Coprococcus catus GD/7 draft genome.
UGAAUUUGCUAGGGGUGCUUAAUUGCUGAGAGGCCUGUGCCGACCCUUUGAACUUGAUGUGGAUAAUCCCAACGCAGGAAAGCAAUGUAAAUGAACU